AGAGUUUGAUCCUGGCUCAGGAUGAACGCUAGCGGCAGGCUUAACACAUGCAAGUCGAGGGGCAGCGCGGGAUAGCAAUAUCCUGGCGGCGACCGGCGGAAGGGUGCGUAACGCGUGAGCGACAUGCCCGUUGCCCGGGGACAACCGGUGGAAACGCCGACUAAUCCCCGAUGGGAUACGAUGCUGCAUGGCAUUGUAUUGAAAGUUACGGCGGCGACGGAUUGGCUCGCGUCCGAUUAGCUAGUUGGCGGGGUGACGGCCCACCAAGGCUACGAUCGGUAGGGGUUCUGAGAGGAAGGCCCCCCACAAUGGGACUGAGACACGGCCCAUACUCCUACGGGAGGCAGCAGUGAGGAAUAUUGGUCAAUGGGCGGAAGCCUGAACCAGCCAUGCCGCGUGCGGGAAGGAGGCCCUAUGGGCUGUGAACCGCUUUUGCCUGGGGGCAAUAAGGGCGUCGCGCACGUCCGAUGAGAGUACCAGGCGAAUAAGCAUCGGCUAACUCCGUGCCAGCAGCCGCGGUAAUACGGGGGAUGCGAGCGUUAUCCGGAUUCAUUGGGUUUAAAGGGUGCGUAGGCUGUGCGUCAAGUCGGGGGUGAAAUUCCUGUGCUCAACACGGGGGCUGCCCUUGAUACUGUCGCGCUGGAGUGCGGAUGCCGCCGGAGGAAUGAGUGGUGUAGCGGUGAAAUGCUUAGAUAUCACUCAGAACACCGAUUGCGAAGGCAUCUGGCGAAUCCGUAACUGACGCUGAGGCACGAAAGCGUGGGGAUAGAACAGGAUUAGAUACCCUGGUAUUCCACGCCGUAA
rnacentral:rRNA from 1 species